AGUGCGGCCGCCUGGGGAGCCGCGGGAGAGGCGGCGGCGGGGGGAGGAGGGAGAGGAGGGCCGAGCCGGCGGCCCGGGAGGCCCGGUUUUGAAGCCGCUUCUCUGGCCGAGUUAGGUUUCGCCCAGCGCAAUUUCUUUCUCUAUGUACUUUGCGAAUAAGUUUCGGAGCAUCGGUUAACAGCCUAUGGGUGAAAUUUGGCUUUCAUUCAUGAAUGAGCUUCAGUUGUGGAGGGCCAAAAGGGUAUCAUUCUUCGAGCUAUUCAAGAAAUAUUUCAAAGCAUCUCUGAACAUCCUAGCAUUGACUUUAAUGUGAAAGUAUCUUAUAUAGAAGUGUACAAGGAAGACCUAAGAGAUCUUCUAGAAUUGGAGACAUCCAUGAAAGAUCUUCACAUCCGAAAAGAUGAAAAAGGAAACACAGUGUGUGCUUGCUGCUGAUGAAGUAGUAUUUAAUCAGAAGGAACUGGAGGUUAAGGAACUGAAGAAUCAAGUGCAGAUGAUGGUACAGGAAAACAAAGGGCAUGCUGUAUCUUUGAAAGAAGCGCAAAAAGUGAAUAGACUGCAGAAUGAAAAAAUAAUAGAACAACAACUUCUUGUGGAUCAACUGAGUGAAGAACUAACAAAACUUAACCUGUCAGUGACUUCUUCAGCUAAAGAAAAUUGUGGAGACGGGCCAGAUGCCAGGAUCCCUGAAAAGAGACCAUAUACUGUACCAUUUGAUACUCAUUUGGGGCAUUAUAUUUAUAUCCCAUCAAGACAAGAUUCCAGGAGGGUAAAGUCCAAACAAUCUUUUCCUUAUUUUGAGAUUAAAAAAAUUUUAGCCAUGUGUA
rnacentral:lncRNA from 1 species